rnacentral:tRNA from 1 species
GGGGCGGAUGUAGCCAAGUGGAUCAAGGCAGUGGAUUGUGAAUCCACCAUG